rnacentral:rRNA from 1 species
CAAUAGCGUAUAUUAAAGUUGUUGCGGUUAAAAAGCUCGUAGUUGGAUUUCUGCAUGGAAGGAGCGGUCCACCCAUUGGGCGCGUACGGCUACCUUUGAUGCAUCUUUCUGAGGACGUGUUCUUCACUUAAUUGUGAGGGCGCAGGACUCAGGACAUUUACUUUGAGGAAAUGAGAGUGUUUCAAGCAGGCAAAUGCCUUGAAUACGUUAGCAUGGAAUAAUAGCAUCGGACCAUCGUCCAGCUGUUAGUGUCUGGGCGAAGGUAAAGGUGAAUAGGGAUUGUUGGGGGCAUUCGUAUUUAACUGUCAGAGGUGAAAUUCUUGGAUUUGUUGAAGACGGACCACUGCGAAAGCAUCUGCCAAAGAUGUUCUCAUUGA